AACGCAAGUCAUCAGCUUGCAUUGAUUACGUCCCUGCCCUUUGUACACACCGCCCGUCGCACCUACCGAUUGAAUGACUCGGUGAAAAAUUGGGACCGUGAGUCCGCUUGCUUCAUUGCGAGUGGAUUGAUGGGAACUUUUUUAAACCUCGCCAUUUAGAGGAAGGUGAAGUCGUAACAAGGUUUCCGUAGGUGAACCUGCGGAAGGAUCAUUA
rnacentral:rRNA from 1 species